AACGAACGCUGGCGGCAUGCCUAACACAUGCAAGUCGAACGAGACCUUCGGGUCUAGUGGCGCACGGGUGCGUAACGCGUGGGAAUCUGCCCUUGGGUUCGGAAUAACAGUGAGAAAUUACUGCUAAUACCGGAUGAUGUCUUCGGACCAAAGAUUUAUCGCCCAGGGAUGAGCCCGCGUAGGAUUAGCUAGUUGGUGGGGUAAUGGCCUACCAAGGCGACGAUCCUUAGCUGGUCUGAGAGGAUGAUCAGCCACACUGGGACUGAGACACGGCCCAGACUCCUACGGGAGGCAGCAGUGGGGAAUAUUGGACAAUGGGCGCAAGCCUGAUCCAGCAAUGCCGCGUGAGUGAUGAAGGCCUUAGGGUUGUAAAGCUCUUUUACCCGGGAUGAUAAUGACAGUAUCGGGAGAAUAAGCUCCGGCUAACUCCGUG
rnacentral:rRNA from 1 species